UACGUAGGUGGCGAGCGUUAUCCGGAAUUAUUGGGCGUAAAGAGCGCGCAGGUGGUUGAUUAAGUCUGAUGUGAAAGCCCACGGCUUAACCGUGGAGGGUCAUUGGAAACUGGUCGACUUGAGUGCAGAAGAGGGAAGUGGAAUUCCAUGUGUAGCGGUGAAAUGCGUAGAGAUAUGGAGGAACACCAGUGGCGAAGGCGGCUCGCUGGCUCGACACUGACGCUGAGGUGCGAAAGCGUGGGGAGCAAACAGGAUUAGA
rnacentral:rRNA from 1 species